GUCUUUUCCCAUGGUAGUGGUGCAGGGGGGAGCCCUUCUUGCAGCCAGUGGGAGAGACAGAACAAAAAACAGAGGAAAGUCGUCAUGGCUGCCAGGAGCUUGUGGCUGCCAUGUUUUCCAGCCUCUUACACUU
rnacentral:snoRNA from 1 species